CCUACGGGAGGCAGCAGUGAGGAAUAUUGGUCAAUGGCCGGAAGGCUGAACCAGCCAAGCCGCGUGAAGGACGAAGGUGCUAAGCAUUGUAAACUUCUUUUGUCAAGGGACAAAAUCAGGCUCGUGAGCCUGACCGAGGGUACUUGAAGAAAAAGCAUCGGCUAACUCCGUGCCAGCAGCCGCGGUAAUACGGAGGAUGCGAGCGUUAUCCGGAUUUAUUGGGGUUAAAGGGUGCGUAGGCGGAACGUUAAGUCAGAGGUAAAAGCCCGGGGCUCAACCCCGGCAAUGCCUUUGAAACUGGCGGGCUUGAGAUGAGGAGAGGUAGGCGGAAUG
rnacentral:rRNA from 1 species